CCGAAUUUCGAAGUUAAGAUCCGGAACACUACGGAGUCCUUUUUCCAACAUGUCUCUCACACUCUUUAUCUAUCCUUUGCCUUUGUCUUGGUUAUUACUCAGUUUAGCUUCAAAACCCACUCUUCUUUCCCUCCUCGAACUUCGCAUAUCUUUACGUCAACUUCUUCCAUUACUGCGUCGAUAUCUACUUCCUCGCGUCCGAUCACCGAUCAUCUGGCUGUAGAUGACAAGAAGCCCACGCCGCCGCCAAAGCCAUGGCUCAUCGUGGGCCUCGGGAAUCCCGGGAAGAAGUAUGAUCGCACGCGCCAUAAUGUCCCUAGGUUUUGAGAUAGUGGAUCCUGUAGCUGAAGCUGAAGGGAUUUCCAGGUAGGUCUUGUGGGCAUUCAUCUUAAUACCAGGAGCUACAGCGGUAGGUUCUCAUGUAGUAUCUGUCUGGUCCUGUUUCAUACCCUCUGCCUUUUCUUUAUAUUUUUUUUAUAUAUAUCAACAGAAGUUGCAUUCAUGAUGAACAGUUUGUGUGGUCAUUUUGGCCCAAUCUAUUCUAAGCUUCGUAUCUGAACAAUGCUGUUUUUUAUUUUCUAUUAUCUGUGAGGCAUCUCAGCAGUGCAUGUGUUGUCCAUCCUGAAAAAAAGAAGCAUAUUCCAUUUUAAUGGACUUCUGGUUGAAAGGCUGUGCUUCUGCAGAAUUUUGUCUCACAAGGAACAAUAUACUUUCUUUGAAUAUGAAUUUUGCUUGAAAUUUGACUGUAGAAGUUUGUCUUACUGAAAAGCGUACUUUCUUCAGAUCUGAACACAGAUUUUAUAUUUGUGAACUUUUGUAGCUUUUCAGAGGAGAAAAUAGAAUUUACUUGGUUUGACUGAAUAAUAGUAAAUGUAUUAAAAGACACCAUGUGCGCCUGAUCCAAGAAUUUAAGCUCAGUAAAAGAUUCUAGGAUUACGAGUUUUGAUUGUAUGAUUUAAGUUUGUAAAUAGAAUAAACAUUAAGAAGAACAACAGGCUGAGAGAGAUGAAUUUUAAUUGCUUAUUUGCUACCCGUGGCAGGAUGAGGAGUGUCAUUGAUCACUUGAAAGGCAGUCGAGAUUACCCACGCCGGUUCUAUAUGAUAUCAGCUGAUAAAUGGGUGAAAGCAUUCUAGGCAUCAUAUGGCGCCCUCCCGGGAAAAUGGAUGCUUCAAUAAACAAGAACGAGAUGAGGUUUCUGGUGAACACCUUCCCCAUGGAAUUGCCUCAUACCAAGACGAUUUCAUGUAGCUUUGAACAACAAACCUUCAUCGUCUUCCUUUGAUUCAAUUCGCCUCUCCCAUAAAAUAUUUUCUUUAAACGUCGAUUAACACCCACCCAGUUGUCGUUGUAAGCAGUGAUAUCAGGAAGCGGUGUGGGGUUGAAGAAUCGAGGGAGAACUGAUUGUCAUAAAAUCUGCAGAUAAGGCUUAGUUAGACACUUGUUGUGCAGCGCUCUGUUUCCAUGGCCGCCCUCAACUUCCUCCAUAAAUGCAAAACCAUCCUCAACUCCAACGCUUUACUCCCUUCUUACGUCUGCUUGUCCUCUUCUUUCUUCUCCCUCUUAUUUAUUGUUAUGGUUGAGUGGGAACUAACCAUUCUAGGUAAGAGUAAGAGUGUAAAAACCACUCCCCUGAUGUUGAAGACAUACAUAACCAGUCAAAAUAGAUAAUAUCGGCUAGUAAUGGGUUUUGGUUGUUACAUAUGGUAUUAGAGCCAGACACGGGUCUUGUACCAGCGAGGACACUGACCUCCAAACGAGUGGAUUGCAAGAUCUCAUAUCAGUUGGAGAGAAGAACACAACAUUCCUUAUAAUGAUGUGAAAACUCUCUCUAAUAGACGAAUUUUAAAGUUGUAAGACUGACGGCAAAUAUAUCGUGACAGGAGACGAUUGAAGUUCAAAAAAGGGAGUAAUGUCCCAUUCAAUUCAAACAUUCACAUGAA